UACGGGGGGAGCAAGCGUUGUUCGGAUUUACUGGGCGUAAAGGGCGCGUAGGCGGCCACCGCAAGUCGACUGUGAAAUCUCCGGGCUUAACUCGGAAAGGUCAGCCGAUACUGCGGGGCUAGAGUGCAGAAGGGGCAACUGGAAUUCCUGGUGUAGCGGUGGAAUGCGCAGAUAUCAGGAGGAACACCGAUGGCGAAGGCAGGUCUCUGGGCCACUACUGACGCUGAGAAGCGAAAGCAUGGGGAGCGAACAGG
rnacentral:rRNA from 1 species